rnacentral:rRNA from 1 species
UACGGGGGGGGCGAGCGUUGUUCGGAAUUACUGGGCGUAAAGGGUUCGUAGGUGGCUUGCUAAGUCAGACGUGAAAUCCCUCGGCUCAACCGGGGAAUUGCGUCUGAAACUGGCGAGCUUGAGUGCAGGAGAGGAACGCGGAAUUCCAGGUGUAGCGGUGAAAUGCGUAGAUAUCUGGAGGAACACCGGUGGUGAAGGCGGCGUUCUGGACUGCAACUGACACUGAGGAACGAAAGCCAGGGUAGCAAACGGG